rnacentral:rRNA from 1 species
AGUCGAACGGCAGCGACUUCGGUGGCGAGUGGCGAACGGGUGAGUAAUGUAUCGGAACGUGCCUAGUAGUGGGGAUAACUACGCGAAAGCGUAGCUAAUACCGCAUGCCUCUCGGGGAAAGCGGGGACCCUCGGGCCUCGCACACCACAGAGCGGCCGAUAUCGGAUUAGCUAGUUGGUGGGGUAACGGCUCACCGGCGACGAUCCGUAGCUGGUUUGAGAGGACGACCAGCCACACUGGGACCGAGACACGGCCCAGACUCCUACGGGAGGCAGCAGUGGGGAAUUUUGGACAAUGGGGAAACCCUGAUCCAGCCAUCCCGCGUGUGCGAUGAAGGCCUUCGGGUUGUAAAGCACUUUUGGCAGGAAAGAAACGGCACGGGAUAAUACCCCGUGCAACUGACGGUACCUGCAGAAUACACCGGCUAACUACGUGCCAGCAGCCGCGAAUAUGUAGGGUGCAGCGUUAAUCGGAAUUACUGGGCGUAAAGCGUGCGCAGGCGGCUCUGGAAAGAAAGAUGUGAACCCAGAGCUUAACUUUGAACUUAUUUCUUACCACCGAGCCAGAGUGUCAGAGGGAGGUGGAAUUCCGCGUGUAGCAGUGAAAUGCGUAGAUAUGCGGAGAGGAACACCGAUGGUGAAGCAGCUCUCUGGGAUAACACUGACGCUCAUGCACGAAAGCGUGGGAGCAAACAGGAUUAGAUACCCUGCAGUCCACGCCCUAAAACGAUGUCAACUAGCUGUUGGGGCUCUCGGGCCUUGGUAGCGGCGGCUGACGCACAUGGGCAGGAAGUUGACCGCCUGGGGAGUACGGUCGCAAGAUUAAAACUCAAAAAGGAAUUGACGGGACCCGCACAAGCGGUGGAUGAUGUGGAUUAAUUCGAUGCAACGCGAAAAACCUUACCUACCUCGACAUGUCUGGAAUCCCGAAGAGAUUUGGGAGUGCUCGCAAGAGAACCGGAACACAGGUGCUGCAUGGCUGUUGCGAAGCCGUGUCGAGAUGUUGGGUUAAGUCCCGCAACGAGCGCAACCCUUGUCAUUGCUACGAAAGGCACCUAAAUGAGACUGCCGGUGACAAAACCGAGGAAGGUGAUGACGUCAAGUCCUCAUGGCCCUUAUGGGUAGGGCUUCACACGUCAUACAAUGGUCGGACAGAGGGUCGCCAACUCAAGGCGAGGGGAGCCAAUCCCAGAAACCCGAUCGUAGUCCGGAUCGCAGUCUGCAACUCGACUGCGUGAAGUCGAACUGCUGGUGAACGUGGAUCAGCAUGUGAAUACGUUCCCGGGUCUUGUACACACCGCCCGUCACACCAUGGGAGUGGGUUUUACCAGAAGUAGUUAGCUCAACUGGUGUGGCGAGGGCGAUUACCACGGUAGAUUCAUGACUGGGGUGAAGUCGUAACAAGGUAA